UACGUAGGGACCAAGCGUUGUUCGGAUUUACUGGGCGUAAAGGGCGCGUAGGCGGCCAGCACAAGUCAGUUGUGAAAUCUCCGGGCUUAACUCGGAAAGGUCAACUGAUACUGUGCGGCUAGAGUGCAGAAGGGGCAACUGGAAUUCUCGGUGUAGCGGUGAAAUGCGUAGAGAUCGUAAGGAAGACCAGUGGCGAAGGCGGGUCUCUGGACAGUUCCUGACACUGAGGCACGAAGGCCAGGGGAGCAAACGGG
rnacentral:rRNA from 1 species